rnacentral:lncRNA from 1 species
UAUAUAGUUUUAAUAAAGGACAUAGGAAGAUAAAGCUGACCAGCAUUUUUCAGUAUUUCUGCAGCAAGACACAUGGUUUUGAGAAUACUAUAUACAGUCACUGUAAGCAGACUGAUGGCAAAAUGGAUUUAUAGCAAAUUGGCAACUUGAGCUUAACUGUGCAAGUCCCCAGUGUCUUUCCUUUUCUGGCUCUCCAAUACAUUCCAUACAUUAUCAAGAUCCAGUUCCAGGUUUCCUGCUGUGUUCCUUUGCUGAUUUAGACAGCGGGCUGAAAGCAAUUAUUCUUUGAAUGCAUCUUAUCUUAUUGUUCUUUUAUUUUAACCAUCUCCUACCUAAACCUAUAUCCUGAUAGAUUGAUCUCACUGUGUGUUUUAAAUCAUUCUGUAGACUGAUGCUAACUAGGCUGCUCCAAAGAACACAUUUAAUGGUUUUGAACACUGUGCAGAAUACAGCCUUAGCCUUUGGGGGAAGUAAACAAGUCAAGGGUUGCAUGCUGGUAAGAGCCACCCAUUCUUUACUAUGCUACAUAAUACCCACAUGCAACGGCUACAGUACAAUAUGGUAUAUUGUAAGUAUGGUUAAAGAAAUGCAAAUGUAGCAUACAGUGGCAACCAUUUCCUUCUGAUUGGACAGAGUGCAUGAAUUUUCUGUGAGCACGGAACUUGCGAUAGGGGCUGAUGAUCUUGUCCUCUGUGUCUCUGCACAGAACAUGUCUUUCAGCCCAACUGAGUCUCUUAGCUAUUCUAACAGCAGAUAUUUUAGAACAGAUAAAUGAAAUGUUCCCUUCCUGGGAUUUUGGACUUUAUUUAAAAGGAGAGAACAGAAUCAUCCCUAUAAAUAUUUGCUCUAAUGACCUAGCAGUCUGCCUUAAAAGAAAGGUGUACAUUCAUAUGCAUGUAAAUGUACACACAUGUAGCAUACAUAUGAGUGAUGAGAGCUGAGAGGGAUAGACUAUGCUACAUUCCUGUCAGUUGGGCCUGGUUAAAUCUUAGGUGUAGAUUGCGGUAAUGUAUACACAGUAUUCUUAAAACAUACGUGCCUGGACUGUGCUUAAGUACCCAUUAACAUAAAUGUCCACACUCUGUAAUUUGGCACGAAUGUGAGGAAGACAUUGUUUUCCCUGGAAAAGUGAACCCUGAGAUCGGGCUGUCUGUGUGCCAUGGGAGAUUAUGGCACUGGCUAAUGCCAUCUAGUGCGAAAUACAUAUGUCGUAAGGGGUGAGUCAGGGGAAGAGGCACAUAUUGCAUUAGAAAAUAAAGAGCUGUCUAAAUCACGAACUUCAAGAUUUUGGAGACAGAGGGAUUCUUCUGGAGUUUGAUUCUGUUCUCUUUGCUCUCGGUGUCCUAAGGUGCCCCAUAGUAAUUCCUGCACUAGGACGUCAAGCCUCUCUUAACAAUGGGCUGUCCACAAUAUCUAUGUGCUUUGGAUGGCACUUUAUCUCUUUUAUCUUUAAUUUUUGGAAAACAGUUUCCAUUCUGUCUCUUUCCAAGGACAUUGUUGGAACAAAUGGAAGAACAUUAAUGAAGUACUCCAGGCUCUGCAAGAAAAUAUUCUGAACUGAGAGUGUGGAAGGAAAGAAUGGAGCACAUUUGUUUGCUCAGAAAUACUGUAAUGGUUGAACUUUUCAUUCCAGUCCUGCAAAUAAAAAUAUGUAAGAGCACUAGGGAGUUACAUAGCACCUUUCAAUUGUGGGAUAUUAACAAGUAGCUCCAUUUUCCAACUGUGGGAGAAGAGUACCAAAGAUUGGGGAAUGGAUCCCACAGAAGUUAUUGGGCAGGGUUCCAAGGAAAAGAAAUCAAAUGAGUGAGGUCAGGAUGUGCUGAUUAUAAAACAAACCCGUCUUCUUGAUCAAUAACUAACCACUUAGAUUCCUAUAUACAGUAAUCAAUACACAGAGAAUCUAUAUAUAGGGGUAUAAUCAAUGUCUAUAAACUAAUGGGGUCAGGAUCCUAAAGCAAGAAUAGGGUUUCUUCUUUCUCCAAGCACCCAGAGAAACCGCUGGUUUAUUUGGCCUUUUGGAGACAGCUUAAGUCUUAAGACACUGAACAAUCAGCUUGCAUUACCUGAGCUUUACCCUUCUACUACUUCCAUGUCGUUUCCUAGCAUUGGCCCUUGUGACAUGAUCUCUAAGAGGGCUGAAUGCUAUCUUACACAUUCUACAGAGGAGAAUUUCCUGAUGCCUUCCUGACUUUGCUACAUAGCCUGUAUCUUCUGGACCUUAGCAGAGAUGAUAGGUGGGGUCGGGGAAGGUUGCUUUGAUGCUGACUUUUGCUGAAUUGCUGCUUUCAGCCUCUUAGAGAAGGGUACAUUUGUAUAGGACUAGAAGGCAAGGCCUGUGAGUCCUGGAGCCAUGUGGAUGGCCAAAUAUGUUUCCAAGUGAAACCUAGACAAGAGAGGUGCUUUAGAAGGAGCAUGGAAAGGGAAAGGUCUUCCCAUGUGAAAGUAUUAGCUUUCACCAUGAAUCCAUCAUACAGUCUUCUAGGUCUCUCCCUAAUCUGUGAAUUUUAGAAGCAGUCCCUAGGCCCUCGCCCUAAUGGACUUAUUCAUGUCUUGUAUUCUCUCAUAUGAAAUGCAGACCGCAAUCUAUUUAUUUGAUGCUAAAUGUCUCACCUUGGUAAAAAUGACCUAGGGGGUCCAAAUGGACCCAUUUAGUUGUUGCUUUAAAUAGCUGUAUUGUUUUCCUUCUCAGUUGCACUGGUGCCCCAACACAGAUAUGUUCGUGCCAGGCAACUCUUUUUCACCCAGAGACAUUUUAGAGAGAAUAAUUUAGUAAACCCAACUGUCUCUUAAGGAGUUCAAUUCCUUGAUAACUGUGAGCUGCCUGUAACUCCCACUGAUCUCUGUUAAGAGUUGGGGCUUUUAUUGUCAGCAGCUGUGCAUUAGAGUGCUGGUUGAAAAAUGAAAAACAUCAAUACUCUUAGGUACUAUUAUUAUAAAGAAGCAGCAUUAGUGUCCAUCUCAUUGAUCCAGGCAUGAGGACUGAAAGGAAAGCUGGUUAUAAAUAAGUGGGGAAAUGGAUGUAAACUCUCUUAAUGGCUGAGCUGCCACCGAAGCUUAAAAAAAGGGGACUGGAAUAUCACUGUUCGGUUAACUCUGUACAUUAGCUCCUGCUGUGAAAACAUAGACCUUUAGCUAAUCCUCAGGCUAGUGUCAUAUCUGAAACUUUACCGUCUUCAACAGAAUUUUAAUUAUACUGAAAAUCACCCUUAAAUCCUUUUUAUAAAAUGGAUGGUUCAUAACUUAGGCUUAUAGUAUUUCUACCAUUAUAAAAGUAAUUUGCAAAGGCUAAAAUAAAGCUAUAUAGCAGAGAAAUGAAUAACAUAGAGAUUUUGACCGUAGCCUGGCAUUAAAAGUUUUCAGGAAAGUAAUUCCUUUUUUUGUUUUUGUUUCUUUUUUCAAGAAAGGGUUUUCUUAUGUAACCCAAGCUGCCUGGAACUCACUAUGUAGAACAACCAGGCUGGUCCUGACUGAGCAGCAAUCCCCCUGCUCUGCUUUCCAAGCGCUGAGAUGACAGGCAUGCACCAUCAUGUUUGGCCUUAGAAUGCUAAUUGUUAUGCUUACUGAAAUGGAAGUAUGAUCUGGUCUGCCCUAUUAGCUUUCAGACAUUUCUGUGACAGGACAGGAUUUGCAUUGUUGUUCAAUUCUCAACAGGACCUUGGUCACAGUCUACUUAAUCUCCUUCUUAAAUUUCAGACACGUGAUAUAGAGUUUGUUCAGAGUUCAUCAAAUAUUUAAAUUGCUAUUUAGGUGAAAAGCAUGAUUAAAUACAAUCCCGUUUUUAAACCUUGAGUUCUGGCAGAACUCUGUUGCACAUACACAUGUUUAUAUAUGCCCAUGAACAUAAGCUGCAAACACAUGCUGACUCCCCUCAAUACCAGAAAGACCCUGCAGAGAGACAUGAUUAAUAGUCUUUCAUGGGGGAAUUAGACUCCAUGGUAAUCUUCUGAAUUCCCUUUUACCCAACUAGAUGAAUAUAAAGAUAUAUAUUUUAUAUUUAGGCUUUCAUGGAUUGGGGGAGGGUAAGAAAGGAAAACUUGCUUGAAACAAUUGUUUCCAAAAUGAGUUCAGUCAGCAAAGUCAAUUUUGCAAAGUCCUAAAACAUCUGCACAGCAUGUAUUUGAUGGAACACCCAAACUGUGAAGCUUUCUAUCCAACAUGGUGACUUAUUUUGAGGAUUAGAGUGGUUCUCAACAUUGAAGUCUAUAAGCCUCAUGGGAGAUGGUGGUUCC